AGCUUGAUCCUGGCUCAGGAUGAACGCUGGCGGUAUGCUUUACACAUGCAAGUUGAACGUUCCGUUUUUUUGAAUUUAUUCAUUUAAUUGGCAAGUGGCAGACUGGUGAGUACAACGUAGGAAUCUACCCUUAGGAGUGGGAUAACAUCAAUAACUCGGUGCUAAUACCACGUAUUUAAAGAUAACUUUAUGUUUUCGCCUAGGGAUGAGCCUGCGCCUGAUUAGUUAGUUGGUGUGGUAAUGGCACACCAAGACUUUGAUCAGUAGUUGAUUAGGGAUAAUGAUCAGCCACACUGGGAUUGAAAAUGGCCCAGACUCCUACGGGAGGCAGCAGUGAGGAAUUUUCCGCAAUGGACGAAAGUCUGACGGAGCAAUACCGCGUGGAGGAUGAAGGCCUUUGGGUUGUAAUCUCCUUUUCUCAAAAAAGAAAUCUUGACGGUAUUUGAGGAAUAAGCAUCGGCUAACUCUGUGCCAGCAGCCGCGGUAAUACAGGGGAUGCAAGUGUUAUCUGGAAUUAUUGGGCGUUAAGAGUCUGUAGGUGGCUUUUACUGUGACGUCUUGUGUUAAAGACUAAAGCUCAACUUUGGAUUAGCAUAGGAAACUGCAGGGCUAGAGUUCGGUAGAAGUAAAGGGAAUUUCCCAAGUAGCGGUGAAAUGCGUAGAUAUGGGAAAGAACACCAAUGGCGAAAGCACUUUACUAGACCGUGACUGACACUGAGAGACGAAAGCUAAGGUAAUCAACGGGAUUAGAUACCCCGGUAGUCUUAGCCGUAAACAAUGGACACUAAGUGUUGAACGUGAAAUAUCGUAUUUCAGUGCUGUAGCUAACGCGUUAAGUGUCCCGCCUGGGGAGUACGUUCGCAAGUAUGAAACUCUAAGGAAUUGACGGGAGUUUGCACAAACGGUGGAGCAUGUGGUUUAAUUCGAUGCAACGCGAAGAACCUUACCAGAGUUUGACAUAUUAGGAAUUUUCUUGUAAUGAGAAAAGUGCUUUUUGAACCUAAAUACAGGUGGUGCAUGGCUGUCGUCAGCUCGUGUCGUGAGAUGUUGGGUUAAGUCCCGCAACGAGCGCAACCCUUGUCUUUAGUUAUUUUCUAAAGAGACUGCCGGUGAUAAAUCGGAGGAAGGCGAGGAUGAGGUCAAGUCAGCAUGCCCCUUAUACUCUGGGCUACACACGUGCUACAUUGAUUAAGACAAUGAGUCGCUAGCUUGCAAAAGUACGCUAAUCUCAAAAACUUAGUCUAAGUUCGGAUUGUAAUCUGCAACUCGAUUACAUGAAGUUGGAAUCGUUAGUAAUCGUCGGUCAGCUAUACGACAGUGAAUUCGUUCCCAAACUUUGUACACACCGCCCGUCACACCAUGGAAGUUGGUUUUUCUCGAUAAAGUGAUCUUAACGGUCUCCGAUGGACGCUUUUAAAGAAGAGCUAGUGACUGGGGUGAAGUCGUAACAAGGUAGCCGUACUGGAAGGUGUGGCUGGAAUACCUCCUUA
rnacentral:rRNA from 1 species